CAUGGGUACUGGGUGGUGGGAGGGAAGAAAGAAAGAGAGAGACCUCUACCUGCACACACCCAGGAAAGGUCAUGUGAGGACAUAGCGAGAAGGCAGUCAUCUGCAAGCCAGGAGAGAUUUCAUGCAGGACCUAAGUGGCCCCCACCUUGAUCUUGGCCUUCCCAGCUUCUAGAACUGUGGAAAGUGCGCGUCUGCUGUUUAAGCUGCCCAGUCAAUGGCAGGAAUACUGGAGAGGAUUGCCAUUCCCUUCUCCGGGGACAGUGCCUGGAGCACCGUUUGAACAGUGCCUGUUAGAAAUCAGCCAAGGGCUGUGCUCAAUCACAGCGCUCUCUGCCGAGCGCCAGGGACGGCCCUCCGCCCUCAGAGGUGCACACAGCUGAAGUUCUGCCAGAAAACCCUGUGACAAUGCCAUCCGAUGUGAGAGUGGAACAAUUAACUGGAAACAAGUUCUUCUGUACCGUUUCUAGACUCCACCAGUCAGAAUGAGAAGGGGUCCUCUCCUCCCCAUGAGACUGAAAACACUAGUGCCCCCCAGCACAUUAUACACGUCACAGUAAGCUAAAGAUGCCAUGCCUGUGUCCUGCCAAAAUUUAUAUGUUAAAACCUACCCCCCAAUGAUGCUGUUAGAAGAUGGGGUCCUCGCCAGGUGAUGAAGUCAUGAGGGUGGAGCUCCCAUGAUGGAAUUAGUGCCCUUAUAAGACACCCCAGAGGUCUCUCUGCCCCUCUACCAUGUAAGGACAUAGCAAGAAGACGGCCAUCUAUGAACCAGGAAGUGUGUCCUCACCAGACACAGAAGCUACUGGAGCCCUGGUCAUGAACUUAUAGCCUCCCGAACUGUGAGAACUGGUGCAGUCCACCCACUAGAACACGCUGCGGGAUGAUUCCUUUGCUGCUAAAUCUUCAGCAUUUAGUGUGAUCCCUUGCCCAUAAUAAAG
ensembl:lncRNA